CUUCCUGCGGCGCACGUGACGUGUGUAUCAUACGCGAGAGAAUCGGCGCCGAAGUGACUCGCGACAGAUGCGGUGAUGAUGUGAUUGCUCGUGCAUAUUUUCAUGCGUUUAUGUAUGAAAUAAAAUAAUACGGACUAAAGAGAAGAUGAUUUCGAAAUUAUUACGCACGAAUGUCCUCGCUGUUCGAUGCGUAGAUGAUCUCGUGCUUAUAGGCAUGGGAUCCAUGCUCUACGUGUUCGAUACGAAUUCUUAUCAACUAAAAAGUAAAUUAAAUUGUUUGUAUCCAAGUAAUAUACAUGGGAUUGUUGUGGGACCAAAUAAUAUACUAGCUGUAUUUGGUGCUAAAUCCAUAUAUAUUUGCGACAUUAUUAAGCAAGAAGAAGUAAUAACAUUUAAAAAAAGAAAUAACAAUGAGUUCAACGAUUGGAUAAUUGCAUUGCAAUGGAUAUCGGUUAAAAAACAAUUGCAAUUGGCAAUUUUGUUUGCCCAUAAUUGUGUAUCUAUAUAUGACAUAUCUGAAGGUUCUUUUCAAAUUGUAUGCUGUGAAGAAAAAUGUAUACUUUAUGGUGGCUUUAUAUCAGGAACAUUGCAAGAGGACUUGGUAAUUUUUAGUGGAACAGUAUUUCAAGAAAUUUUAAUAUGGAAAAUAGAUAAUAAUCAUGACAGUAACAAAAGUAUGCCAAUUUUGCAUCGCUUGACAGGACACAAAGGUGUGAUUUUCUCUGUUGUUUUUGAUCCAUACUCUCAUCUCAUAUGUUCCACAUCUGAUGAUAGAACUGUCAGAUUGUGGAAAGUAAUUGGAAGUGAAAACUCUGAGAGCAGUAAUAUAAAUUGGCAGACAACAGCAGUAAUGUUGGUAAAAACAAUGUAUGCGCAUACAGCAAGAGUUUGGAGAGCUAUAAUCAAGAAUGACAUUGUUAUAACAAUAGGCGAGGAUUCACUCAUGUGCACAUGGUCACUUUCAGGUAAUUUACUUAAUAAAACUUAUGCCCACCAUGGAGCACCGAUAUGGAGUAUUGACACGUCUGCAGACAAUAAAAAUAUAUUCACGGGUGGAGCUGAUGGAGCUGUGUGUGUAUGGCCAUCCACAUGCUACAACAGCCCAAAAACAAUUUCUCUAACCAGCAACAAUACGCACAAUAUUCCUAAAUACAUAUCAUACUUGAGCAGUGGUACAAUUUUGAUCUUUAACGAAAAGGGAACACUAUUCUGUUAUAACAAAAAUGAAGCCACGCCAAAAGACUCUUUAUAUUUGGAAAAAUAUUGCAGUUAUUGUAUUAUGCAGGUUUCUCCAUGUCGUUCUUUCGUUGCCUUUGCAUCUAGAGAUGGAUAUGUGACGUUGUACAAAGACAUUAUUAAUACAAAUACCAAGCAUCUGCAUCAGAUUCUCGAAGAGAGAAUAAUGGAAUCACAAAUCUUUUCUUUGCAGUGGUUGAGAGAUGACGCACUAAUAGUGUGUGGUGCGAAUGGUCUUCUAAGAAUAUUUCAUUUUACAAUUAAUGGUACAACUCACGUAGAAACACAGUGCAUGUUACCUUCUAGUCGAGAACGUUGGCUGACCGCAGCUACAAUAUACGAAAAGUUGUUGGUUUGUGGAGAUAGAACUGGAAACGUAUAUGUAUUCGAAUUAUCGAACGAGAGCGAGGACAUCAAGACACCUAGUCAAACGCUCGUUAAAGUCCACGGUAAAAUAGGAGUUCAGUCCUUCGACGUGUUGGAAGACAAGCUGAUGACGACUGGACGCGAUGGAAUGUUGAGAUUUUAUGAAUUAAACAAAGAGAACAGAAACUCCUUACUGACGCUGCAUAAGAAAAAAAUGCCAAUGGACUGGAUCAGUGGCACAUUAAAAGUGGACGGGAUUUUACUUGUCUUUGGUUUCAAAGAGGCAGAAUUUAUAAUUUAUAACUUACAACAGCAAAGAUUGUUGUUCAGAAUUCCUUGUGGCGGUGGUCAUAGAUCGUGGGACUGUACAAUAUUAAAUAGAACAGCCAGUUUUGCUUACAUACGAAAUAAGCAGGUCUACAUAUUCGAUUAUCCUCUAGGAUCAUUAAAACUGCCGAUUUUACAAGAUGGUUUUCACGUAAAGGAAACUUGUUGCCUUCAACGAAUUUCGUGUUUAGAUGCGCGGGAUAUUUUCGUGUCCGGCGGUGAAGACUGUACUCUUCGCGUUAGCUGCAUCUCCCAAGUAUCUCAAAGUGACACCUGUGCCUUUCACAAUUUGGGAGUCUUCGACGGUCAUCUUUCAGGUAUAAAAUGCUUAAGUGCUGUCAAGUUGAACAUUGAAGUCGACGAGCUAAGCAGCAGACAUUUAGUGUUCUCCGGUGGAGGGAGAGCACAACUGAAGGUUUGGCAGAUGAAUCUUAAGUAUAAUGAGAGGGUAUCGCCGAGUAUAGAUCUGUCGUGUCUUGAUGUGAAGUCCCAUAUGCUCCAUGGACAAGAUCAAUAUCGUAAGAAACCUUGGCAAGAGACUGAGCAAUCUUACAUCAUAGAACCAGAAACGCGUUACAUGGAUAUUCACGCGUAUUAUCCAUCCAAGAGCUUGAAUCACGUAUUAAUAUUUGUGGCGUGUGCAGAUGGAUACCUGAGAAUAUUUGUAUAUGAUAUUAAAACUAGCGAUACGUACUUGAAAGUAUCUACCAAAUACGUAGAUCGAUGUAUCUUGAAGAUGCACGUUUUGUCACACAAAUGCAAAAUGAUCGUCCUAACAAUGACUACUGACGGAAUACUACGUUUCUUCGAUCUCACUGGCGUAGUUUCGAAGAUAUACAAGGACGCAAAUUUGAAGAAUCAGAAUAUUAUAAAAUUUAAUGACGCCCCUUUCGCGGAAUUCAACUUGCAUCAGUCUGGAAUUAAUUCUUACGAUUUAAAACUCGCGGACGAGAACAAGUAUCUUUUGAUCACCGGUGGUGACGAUAACCUUUUCAAUCUCCUUUGCUUUCGAAUUUUGGAAACCGAUGAGAUAUUGUCAGUUGUAAUAUUAUCUAAAUGGAGCACAGCGUCCGCACACUGCGCACAAAUUGCAGGUCUGAAAUUUAAAGAUGAUGAUCAAAUAUGUAGCGUGGGGAUAGACCAACAAGUUAUCAUCUACAGUUACUCAUGGUCCAGUGGUGCUUUAUCUGCAAGAAUUCUCUCUAAUGUAUUCACAUCCAUCACAGAUGUACAAGGCAUGGACUUGUGGCCUUCUGACAACAAUGGCAAUAUCGUGUGUAUAUAUGGAAGAGGUUUCGAAAUACUGCCAGUUUGAAACGUAUAUCUUGCAAAAAACAUUACUAGACUACUGUUUUACUACUACUUUACUAAUGAGAUACUAAUGAGAAGAUGUUAGCCUGUUCAAAAUGGCGAUGCAACACACCGAAAACCACUGAUGUUUGACAGCACGGUGCUUCAAGCGAUGUUGUAAAGUUUUUUUGAUAACUUAUUCGUAAAAAUAGCUCGACUUACAGAGCAAUUAUCGAAAAAUGUCG